rnacentral:rRNA from 1 species
AGUGGAUGGGGAGCAACCUAGUUGUGCGUGUGUAAAGGUAGUGCCAAGAAAAGCGAUGAUCAUGUUGAAAAUCAAUUCCCGGUACCCGAAACCGACACAGGUGGGCAAGUAGAGAAUACUAAGGGGCGCGAGGUAACUCUCUCCAAGGAACUCGGCAAAAUGACCCCGUAACUUAGGGAGAAGGGGUGCCACCGAGAGGUGGUCGCAGUGAAGAGGCCCAGGCGACUGUUUAGCAAAAACAUAGGUCUCUGCAAACUCGAAAGAGGAGGUAUAGGGGCUGACGCCUGCCCAGUGCCGGAAGGUUAAAGAAGUUGGUCAGUUUUAGGAUGAAGCUAGCGACUGAAGCCCCGGUGAACGGCGGCCGUAACUAUAACGGUCCUAAGGUAGCGAAAUUCCUUGUCGGGUAAGUUCCGACCCGCACGAAAGGCGUAACGAUCUGGGCGCUGUCUCGGAGAGAGGCUCGGCGAAAUAGGAUUGUCUGUGAAGAUACGGACUACCUGCAUUUGGACAGAAAGACCCUAUGAAGCUUUACUAUAGCUUGGAAUUGUGUUCGGGCUUCCUGUGCGCAGGAUAGGUGGGAGGCGUAGAAGGUAUUCUUGUGGGGAUACUGGAGCCAACGGUGAGAUACCACUCUCAGGAGGCUAGAAUUCUAACUUAAUUAAGGACAGUUUCAGGUGGGUAGUUUGACUGGGGCGGUCGCCUCUAAAAAGGUAACGGAGGCGUACAAAGGUUCCCUCAGACUGGUUGGAAAUCAGUCGAAGAGUGCAAAGGCAGAAGGGAGCUUGACUGCGAGAAGUACAGUUCGAGCAGGGUGGAAACACGGUCUUAGUGAUCCGACGGUGCUGUGUGGAAGGGCCGUCGCUCAACGGAUAAAAGUUACUCUAGGAUAACAGGCUGAUCUCCCCCAAGAGUUCACAUCGACGGGGAGGUUUGGCACCUCGAUGUCGGCUCAUCGCAACCUGGGGCGGAAGUACGUCCCAAGGGUUGGGCUGUUCGCCCAUUAAAGCGGUACGUGAGCUGGGUUCAGAACGUCGUGAGACAGUUCGGUCCAUAUCCGAUGUAGGCGUGAGAAUAUUGAGAGGAGCCUUCCUUAGUACGAGAGGACCGGGAAGGACGCACCGCUGGUGUACCUGUUAUGAUGCCAAUUGUAAACGCAGGGUAGCCAAGUGCGGAGAGGAUAACCGCUGAAAGCAUCUAAGUGGGAAGCCCACCUCAAGAUGAGUAUUCUGGUGUAAGGUCACGGGAAGACGACCCGUAAUAGGCACGAGGUGGAAGUGCAGAGAUGUAUGAAGCCGAAGUGUACUAAUAGACCGUCGGCUUGACC